GCAAAACAAGUCCUGCUAAAUUUGCAGCCAUACAAAGUUGCCCGGGAGCAGUGCAUGAAGGCCUUGCAGAUCAACAAGUUACAGAAAUGGUCCGAUGACAAUUCCCUCAUUCCUGGAUCCACCUCAAGUUUGGUGAAGCCACUGGAGAUCCACGAAGAGACAACAGCAGAACUCGAACAUGAGGACAGUGACAUGGCACCAUGAAAAAAGGAAUAAAGACCUAGAAAUCCA